ACGUAGGGUGCGAGCGUUGUCCGGAUUUAUUGGGCGUAAAGAGCUCGUAGGCGGCUCGUCGCGUCGACCGUGAAAUCCCGCAGCUUAACUGCGGGCUUGCGGUUGAUACGGGCGGGCUAGAGUUCGGUAGGGGAGACUGGAAUUCCUGGUGUAGCGGUGAAAUGCGCAGAUAUCGGGAAGAACACCGAUGGCGAAGGCAGUCGGCUGGGCCGUUGCUGACACUGAGGCGCGACAGCGUGGGGAGCAAACAGGA
rnacentral:rRNA from 1 species